AUCUUGAUGAUGAUAAUGGUAAUAGUGUUAGUAGGCAUAAUAAUAAAAAUACUAAUUAUGAUAAGUACAAUGAAAUUUUGAAAGAUAAUAAGGUUGAGAUUAUAAAUGCGCGUAGAAACCAAACAUGUUCAAAAAGAAAAAGAGAAGAUGAUUAUUUUUAUAACUGUAUAAAGAAUUUUGGUUGUACGAACUAUUGUCAAAAUAUAAAUAAUAAUGAUAAUGGGGGUAAAAAUUAUAAUCCUUACGAUGACUAUAAUGAUUGUAAUCAUGAUAAGAUUAGUAGUAGCCAUGAUAGUUGUGCGGUAAGUAGUGCGAUCAGAAGAGAGGACAAUAGCAAGGAUAAUAAUCACAAUAGUGAAAAAGAUAUAAAAUUGAUACAUGAAAUAAUACAUUUAUCUUUUCAAAAUAAUUUAUUAAUGCAAAAGUUAAAAAUAAUGAAGCAAUAUAAAAAUUAUUAUUAUCAAAAUUAUUCAUUACAUAAUUUAUGUGCAAGUUUAUCACCGAUUAAGACACAAGUAAAUAAUAAUAUUUUAGAUGACUGUAGUACACUCAAACAACAUAUAAUUAAUAAUUUGCACAUGCACAUGAAACAAGAACAUAAGUUUGAUUCAUUAAAAAUACUUCAAAAAGAGUGGCGUAAUAAUGAGUAUGUGCAUAUUUAUAAAUAUGAAAAAAUAGCUAAACAGCUGUUGGCUAGUUAUGAAAGUACUUGUCAUGAUCAUAACAGUGCUACUCCUAAUCAUACACCAAUAAAUACGCCUAACCAUUCUAGUGCUACACCUUAUCAUGCACAAAUAGAUACGUCUAACAAUUCUAGCGCUACACCUAACAAAUUCCUAGUGAAUAUAUCUAAUAACGCUAUCAACCAAGAUAAUUAUCGUAAAGAAAAAAAUCAUAUAAAAAAAUUGUUAAUAUUAAAUUUACACAAUAACUUAGCUAAAUCAAUUAGUAAAAAAAUGAUUAUACUUUUAUAUAUAAAACAAAAAUAUAGUAUUUGCUUAGCAAUUAUUGAUAUAAUUUUAAAAAAUAUGCCAGUACAAUCAUCAUUAAGAAAAAGAGUAAAUAUCAUAAUAGAAUUGUUCCAAAAGUAUGAACAGAAACAUAUAAUACAAGAUAUGCAUGAUCUUAAUAAAGCAAAUGGUGAUAUAGAAAAAGAAUUAAAAAAUACUUUAAACACAAUAUGUGAUAUUCUUAUAAAUCUUUAUUUUAAUAAAAUUGAUACAUUUAAGAAAGUAUUAAGUGACAUAUGUACCUUAUUACAAAGUUUAACCUAUGUAUAUAAGUUAGAAGAUUAUAUAUAUAAAAAAUAAAAAGAGUGAAUCAUCUU
rnacentral:lncRNA from 1 species